GAUGAACGCUAGCGGCAGGCCUAAUACAUGCAAGUCGAACGGCAGCACAGGAGAGCUUGCUCUCUGGGUGGCGAGUGGCGGACGGGUGAGGAAUACAUCGGAAUCUACCUUUUCGUGGGGGAUAACGUAGGGAAACUUACGCUAAUACCGCAUACGACCUACGGGUGAAAGUGGGGGACCGCAAGGCCUCACGCGAUUAGAUGAGCCGAUGUCCGAUUAGCUAGUUGGCGGGGUAAUGGCCCACCAAGGCGACGAUCGGUAGCCGGUCUGAGAGGAUGAUCAGCCACACUGGAACUGAGACACGGUCCAGACUCCUACGGGAGGCAGCAGUGGGGAAUAUUGGACAAUGGGCGCAAGCCUGAUCCAGCCAUACCGCGUGGGUGAAGAAGGCCUUCGGGUUGUAAAGCCCUUUUGUUGGGAAAGAAAUCCUGUCGAUUAAUACUCGGUGGGGAUGACGGUACCCAAAGAAUAAGCGCCGGCUAACUUCGUGCCAGCAGCCGCGGUAAUAC
rnacentral:rRNA from 1 species